UACGUAGGGGGCUAGCGUUGUCCGGAUCUAUUGGGCGUAAAGAGCGUGUAGGCGGCCAGGUAGGUCUGGUGUGAAAACUCGAGGCUUAACCUCGAGAUGUCAUCGGAAACCAUCUGGCUAGAGUCCGGAAGAGGAGAGUGGAAUUCCUGGUGUAGCGGUGAAAUGCGCAGAUAUCAGGAAGAACACCAAUGGUGAAAGCAGCUCUCUGGGACGGUACUGACGCUGAGACGCGAAAGCGUGGGGAGCGAACAGG
rnacentral:rRNA from 1 species